rnacentral:rRNA from 1 species
AACGAACGCUGGCGGCAUGCCUAACACAUGCAAGUCGAACGAGACCUUCGGGUCUAGUGGCGCACGGGUGCGUAACGCGUGGGAACCUGCCUUUAGGUUCGGAAUAACUCAGAGAAAUUUGAGCUAAUACCGGAUAAUGUCUUCGGACCAAAGAUUUAUCGCCUUUAGAUGGGCCCGCGUUGGAUUAGCUAGUUGGUGGGGUAAAGGCCUACCAAGGCGACGAUCCAUAGCUGGUCUGAGAGGAUGAUCAGCCACACUGGGACUGAGACACGGCCCAGACUCCUACGGGAGGCAGCAGUGGGGAAUAUUGGACAAUGGGCGAAAGCCUGAUCCAGCAAUGCCGCGUGAGUGAUGAAGGCC